UACGAAGGGGGCUAGCGUUGCUCGGAAUCACUGGGCGUAAAGCGCACGUAGGCGGCUUCUUAAGUCAGGGGUGAAAUCCUGGAGCUCAACUCCAGAACUGCCUUUGAUACUGAGGAGCUUGGAGUCCGGGAGAGGUGAGUGGAACUGCGAGUGUAGAGGUGAAAUUCGUAGAUAUUCGCAAGAACACCAGUGGCGAAGGCGGCUCACUGGCCCGGUACUGACGCUGAGGUGCGAAAGCGUGGGGAGCGAACAGG
rnacentral:rRNA from 1 species